CCUACGGGAGGCAGCAGUGGGGGAUAUUGGACAAUGGGGGGAACCCUGAUCCAGCGACGCAGCGUGAGUGAAGAAGUAUCUCGGUAUGUAAAGCUCUAUCAGCAGGGAAGUAGAAAUGACGAUACCUGAGUAAGAAGCCCCGGCUAACUACGUGCCAGCAGCCGCGGGAAUACGUAGGGGGCAAGCGUUAUCCGGAAUUACUGGGUUGAAAGGGAGCGUAGACGGUGAUGUAAGUCUGGAGUGAAAGGCGGCGGCCCAACCCUCGGAUUGCGCUGGAAACUAGGUGACUGGAGUACAGGAGAGGUGAGCGGAAUUCCUAGUGUAGCGGUGAAAUGCGUAGAUAUUAGGAGGAACACCAGUGGCGAAGGCGGCUCACUGGACUGUAACUGACGUUGAGGCUCGAAAGCGUGGGGAGCAAACAGGAUUAGAUACCCUAGUAGUC
rnacentral:rRNA from 1 species